rnacentral:lncRNA from 9 species
GAUGAUCCAGCAAUUUUGCUUCUUGGGUAUAGAUACCCAAAAGAAUUGAAAGCAGGGACUCAAACAGAUACUUGUACACCCAUGUUCAUAGCAACAAUAUUCCCAACAGCCAAAAGGUGACAACCCAAAUGUCCAUCUAGAGAUGACAUAUAUAUAUAUGCCACAUUUUGUAUAUGUAUGUUUUAUAUAUAUAUAUAUGCAUAACAUUGCAUUUAUACACACACACACACACACACACACACACACCACACACUGGAUUAUUCAGCCUUAAAAAGGAAUGAAUAAUGACUGCUACAACAUGGGUGAGCCUUGAAAACGUAAGUGAAAUAAGCCAGGUACAACGACAUGAUUCCACUCUUAGGAGGUAGUGUAGUUAAAUUCAGAGACUCUUAGGGAUUACCAGGGGCUAGGGAGAGGAGAGAAUGGGGAGGUACUAUAUAAUAGGUACAGAAUUUGUUUGAGAUGAUGGAAAUAUUCUGGAAAUAAUAGUUGCACAACUUUGUGCGUGUAAUUAACACCACUGAAUUGUACACUCAUAAUGGCUAAAAGAUUUAUGUAAUGCAUGUUUCUCUACCAUAAAAACGAAAAGCAAAGAGCUCAACAGAUACAAUCUAAGAUCACAACCAAUCACUGGAAAACCUCGUUUUAAUUUUAAUUCCAGCAUCUACAUUGGACAAUUAGCAUUUGUAAAAACCUUUUCAUGCUUUGAGAACUAAAUGAAAAGACACUCAUGUUGAAAGCUUACCAGAUGCUACUUUUCAGUGUAUGUGCAUUUGUUUUAAACUGAAUGCACUAAGUAGCAUUUGCAGGAUGAACAUGGAUAACAAUACUUGAGGGUUAGAAUUCCUCGCUAUCCAACCACACAUUGUAUUAUACAGGCUGGCGACAACAGCAUCCAUUCUCAUUAGGUAUUUGGAAAUUAUUUUAGUGUCUUGCAUUUGGCCUCACUAUCAAUCACCAUCAAUAGAAAAGUUAUUUCAAACUAGCUCAUUCUAAAUAGACAACUAAGUGGUAGCUUCCAUGAUGUCUUAGGUUCUUUGCGGGGUGGAAGAGCAGGGUAAAUGCUCCCUGCACAUAAUAUACUUAACAUAUUUCAAGUAUCAUUUUACUCUUCAUAUGACAAGUGAGAAAAUGCUGAUUUAUUUAUUUCCUCCCCCUUUGUAGGUGGGAAAUAGAAGGCAUUUGAGCUGAGAUAUUACGACGCCAAAACCUUUAUCAGCUUCUCCAAAUAUUAUUUGCACUCUUCCACUUUAUUUAUUUUUCUUUUUAGGGCCGCACGUGUAGCAUAUGAAAAGUGUCCAGCUGCAGCUCCAGCUCUGAUUUGACCUCUAGCCUAGGGAUCCUGGAGACUUCCAUGUGCCUGGAGUGUGGCCCUAAGAAGCAAAAAAAAAAAAAAAAAAAAAAAAAAAAAAGUUUAAAGAAGGCAGAGCUGACCCCCACAAUGAUGCAAGAAGUGGCUUUCUAGUCACCCACAGGACAUAUGACAAUGUGGAGGGGGUCAGGAAUUUGGUUUGCUCAGAUAGCCAAUUUAACUGUAAAAAAAUAGCUGAAAAGCUAAAUUUAGACAGUCAAGACUCAUUCUGAAAGAAAGCUUGCUCCGGAGGGAAAAAAAUCCUAGCUGUUGUGGUUGAUGAUCCUGUAGAGAGAGGCCAAACCAAAACAGAGUUUCACUGGAACCACCACUUGGGUGGAUAUUCAGGGCAGUCCUACAAUUUUUUUCAUUGGUCUUGGAGGAACAAAAAUGAGCUGAGCUUCCUCAUUUUUCAUCAGCUCUAUAGGUACAAUGAUUUAAGCAGAGUGAAACCUUUAGAGUCGAGUGUGACAAAGUAGAGAGCAUGGGGCUAGUUUAUUGGGAGGAUCCUAGCAAAUCGUUAGCUCCGAAUGAGCAGCUAAACAUGGGAGCAUUUCUCUUAUUUCAAGCUGAGCUCAUUUGAGUAACAAGUAGGUUACCUGCAGGCUGGGAGUUACACUGUCAACAGGGAGCUAGAGCUCAAUGUUACUCUUUGUUUUUUUUCUUACUGCCAUGGCAGGUGGAAGUUCCUGGGCCAGGAUCAAAACCAAGCCACUACAAGGACAACUCCGGAUCCUUAACCUGCUGCAUCAUAAGAGAUCAGUGUUAUGUAUUGUUAUACAGAAUAGAUGAAAAUGGUUUCACUUUAAACGUUUAAAGAAAAUAAUGCAAGGAAAAGUAUUUCAGAUAUGUUUUUGUGUUAACAUUAGCAUUUUAGUUAAGGAGCUAGUUAAAUCAUGUUCCUCCUCAUAAGAAUAUUGAGUCAACAAGAGUUUAUUUAGGAACUUGGAUCUUUGCUGCCCCAGUUUCCUUACCAGUCUCUAGUAAGAUGCUCUAAUCAGUCAAUAUCUUUAUUGUUGCUGCCCAGAUAAACCAGCAUUACAGACUAUAGAUGACUUAAUCCAGGGCCUUGUGACAGUGACCUCAGAGAACUAGCAUUGCUGCAGAGGUGCAGAUUUGAUCACUGGCCUGGAGGGUGGAUUCACUCCCUUGGUUUACAAGGCAAAAACUUAGAAUAAUUUUUCAUGUUUUCUUAGUUCCUGUUACUGAAUUUUUACAACUUGCAUUUAAGAUGGUGUUUUGUACUAUGUAAUAAAGUAUAUACGUACUUGACAUCCUAAUAAACCAUACAUUGUUUUGAUAA